rnacentral:rRNA from 1 species
UGCCUGAUGGAGGGGGAUAACUACUGGAAACGGUAGCUAAUACCGCAUAACGUCGCAAGACCAAAGAGGGGGACCUUCGGGCCUCUUGCCAUCGGAUGUGCCCAGAUGGGAUUAGCUAGUAGGUGGGGUAACGGCUCACCUAGGCGACGAUCCCUAGCUGGUCUGAGAGGAUGACCAGCCACACUGGAACUGAGACACGGUCCAGACUCCUACGGGAGGCAGCAGUGGGGAAUAUUGCACAAUGGGCGCAAGCCUGAUGCAGCCAUGCCGCGUGUAUGAAGAAGGCCUUCGGGUUGUAAAGUACUUUCAGCGGGGAGGAAGGGAGUAAAGUUAAUACCUUUGCUCAUUGACGUUACCCGCAGAAGAAGCACCGGCUAACUCCGUGCCAGCAGCCGCGGUAAUACGGAGGGUGCAAGCGUUAAUCGGAAUUACUGGGCGUAAAGCGCACGCAGGCGGUUUGUUAAGUCAGAUGUGAAAUCCCCCC